GUUGAUCCUGCAGGAGGUUGCUGCUAUUAGGGUUCGACUAAGCCAUGCAAGUCUAGGGGAUCUUCGGAUCACCGGCGAAAUGCUCAGUAACACGUUGAUAAUCUGACCUUAGGUCAGGGAUAACCUUGGGAAACUGAGGCUAACACCUGAUAUGGGAAUUGUUCUGGAAUGAGUUUUCCUUUAAAAGCAAUGCCUAAGGAUGAGUCAGCGGCUGAUUAGGUUGUUGGUGGGGUAACGGCCCACCAAGCCGACGAUCAGUACGGGUCUUGAGAGAGAUAGCCCGGAGAAGGGAACUGAGAUACUGUCCCUAGCCCUACGGGGUGCAGCAGGCGCGAAACCUCUACAAUGCACGAAAGUGUGAUAGGGGAACCCUAAGUGCUCAGCUAUGCUGGGCUUUUGCCAAGAGUAAAUAUCUUGGCGAAUAAGUGGUGGGUAAGACUGGUGCCAGCCGCCGCGGUAACACCAGCGCCACAAGUGGCAACCGGUAUUAUUGGGCCUAAAGCGUCCGUAGCCGGUCAGACAAAUCUUUUGUGAAAUUAUCAGGCUCAACUUGAUAGCGUGCAGAAGACACUGUUUGACUUGGAACCGGGAGGAGUCAGAGGUAUUUCUGGGGGAGCGGUAAAAUGCGAUAAUCCUAGGAGGACCACCUAUGGCGAAGGCAUCUGACCAGAACGGAUUCGACGGUGAGGGACGAAAGCCAGGGGAGCAAACCGGAUUAGAUACCCGAGUAGUCCUGGCUGUAAACUCUGCGAGCUAGGUGUUGCAUAUUCUUCGGGAAUAUGCAGUAUCGUAGCGAAGGCGUUAAGCUCGCCGCCUGGGAAGUAUGGUCGCAAGGCUGAAACUUAAAGGAAUUGGCGGGGAGACACUACAAGAGGUGCGGCGUGCGGUUUAAUCUAACUCAACACAGAGAAUCUCACCAGAAGCGACGGCAGGAUGAAAGUCAGAUUGAAGGUUUUACUUGACGAGCCGAGAGGUGGUGCAUGGCCGCCGUCAGCUCGUGCCGUAAGGUGUCCAGCUAAGUCUGGUAACGAGCGAGAUCUAUGCCUACAAUUGCUAACGAGUCCUUUUGGAUGCUUGAGCACAUUGUGGGGACUGCCUUCGAAAGGAGGAGGAAGGUGUAGGCUACGGUAGGUCUGUAUGCCCCGAAUCUUCUGGGCUACACGCGCGCAACAAUGGUAGGGACAAUGGGAUACGACUCCGAAAGGAGAAGUUAAACCUCGAAACCCUAUCUUAGUUUAGAUUGAGGUCUGUAACCCGGCCUCAUGACAAUGGAAUCUCUAGUAAUCGGACGUCAUCAGCGUCCGGUGAAUACGUCCCUGUCUCUUGCACACACCGCCCGUCAAAUCAUUCGAGCAGGGUUUAGGUGAGACUCAGCUUUUUGGCUGACUCGAAUCUAAGCUCAGUGAGAAGGGUUAAGUCGUCACGAGGUA
rnacentral:rRNA from 1 species